GACGAACGCUGGCGGCGUGCUUAACACAUGCAAGUCGAACGGAAAGGCCCUGCUCUUGCGGGUUGCUCGAGUGGCGAACGGGUGAGUAACACGUGAGUAACCCGUCCUUGACUUUGGGAUAACUUCACGAAACUGGGGCUAAUAUCGGAUAUGAGCUCCUGCUGCAUGGUGGGGGUUGGAAAGUUUCGGUGGUUGGGGAUGGACUCGCUGCUUAUCGGCUUGUUUGUGGGGUAGUUGCGUACCAAGGUUUUGACGGGUAGCCGGCCUGGGAGGGUGACCGGCCACAAUGGGACUGAGAUACGGCCCAGACUGCUACGGGAGGCAGCGGUGGAGAAUAUUGCACAGUGGGCGGGAGCCUGAUGCAGCAACGCCGCGUGCGUGAUGACGGCCUUCGAGUUGUAAACCGCUUUCGCCUGUGACGAGGCGUGAGUGACGGUAAUGGGUAAAGAAGCACCGGCUAACUACGUG
rnacentral:rRNA from 1 species